GCGGAAAUAGCUCAGUUGAUAGAGCGCUGCCUUGCCAAGGCAGAGGUCGCGGGUUUGAGCCCCGUUUUCCGCUCCA
rnacentral:tRNA from 1 species